ACGUCCGAGUUUUAUGUUUUGUUGAUAAACAUAGGCAGAAGACAUCAAGUGUUGCAAGCCACCCCACCGUUGCAAGUCACCCCGUUUGACGGUACUAUAUGUUCUAUGUUUGUUUAAUCCGAAAAUUUCAAUCAUGGUACGACCAUAUCCAACGGCUUGUGCAAAACAAUCAUGAAAAGCGAUGAAAACACGUAUGUGGCAACCCUAAUCCCACCUAAUGCAUCUGACAGGAGCCAACAUCUAUCGUGUAUCCACAAUGGAAUCCAUUGUGGAUACACAAAUGUUUACAUACUGAUGUUGGAUUCUUAAAAAUGGCGGCCUGGCACCCUGGUGGAUGAAAAGUAGGUAGGUUUAUUAUUCAAUUCCGAUAAAAACUCCGAUACAGUUUUGUUCGCUUUGAUUCAACAUUUGGAAUUGGAUGGCGCCAAAACUUACGACGGUCGACACGGCCCAGAGAAAAUAGAAUUUUCUCUGGUACGGGGAAAAUAAAAUUUGACCGCAUCAAUCUGGAACGAAACUUUUUCAAUCCAUAUUUAUUGUCGUCCAAAACAACUGAGCAAAACAUGAGUUCGAUUGGUUGCCUACCCGAUCAAGUGGAGGACGACUUGCGAACCCUUCGCAAAGUGCAGAAUUGGAGACACACAGCUAUGGGCCGAGUAGAAUGGAGACGACUCCUAUGUACAGAAGAGGUCACUCAGGCCUUAGUCUGACCGAUAAGGAUUCCCGGGAGCUGUAACUGUGAAUAACAUUCCAUCGCAGCACGAACCACUGCGGCUGAUAUUCUACGACUAUGUUAUAUUUCAAAAUUUAAUGAUGUCUCCAUUAGCAGGUGUUAUAGGAUACUGCAAGAUGACGUCACGAAGCCGUCAACUGACAGUUCAGCGAGCUUGUUUACAUGGACUUAGUCUCUGGCGAAGAUCCGGCAAAACUGUUUUUCGAUACAAAUCCAGUAAAACGGUAGUUAGACGAAUGAUUUUGUACUAGUAGAGUAGAAUAUAACCGAUAUUUCCGUAUCACAAUGUGUUCCGGGAGAUAGACAAAACACUGAUUCCUUUUAGCAGAUCGCCAUUUUUAUUUCUUGCAGCAAUACAGCUUGAAGCUGAAAUAUAUUUUAGCCAUUAGUAUUAAUUAACAAAUUCAACUUCUUAUGAAUUCCUCUACUCACAUUUUUCAGUGUUAUGAUUUAAAAAACAGUACAAAUAUGGUGAAAAUAGAUAAAAGAUGAAAAUAUUAACAG